rnacentral:rRNA from 1 species
AGGACGAACGCUGGCGGCGUGCUUAACACAUGCAAGUCGAGCGGAAAGGCCCUUCGGGGUACUCGAGCGGCGAACGGGUGAGUAACACGUGAGUAAUCUGCCCAUCGCUUCAGGAUAGCCAUCGGAAACGGUGAUUAAUACUGGAUAUGACAUUCCUUCGCAUGUUGGGGUGUGGAAAGUUUUUUCGGCGGUGGAUGUGCUCGCGGCCUAUCAGCUUGUUGGUGGGGUAAUGGCCUACAAGGCUUUGACGGGUAGCCGGCCUGAGAGGGUGA